GAUGAACGCUAGCUACAGGCUUAACACAUGCAAGUCGAGGGGUAACGAGAGGAAAGCUUGCUUUCCUUGUCGACGACCGGCGCACGGGUGAGUAACGCGUAUCCAACCUGCCCCCAACUAGGGAAUAACCUUGCGAAAGUAAGACUAAUACCCUAUAAUUUCCUCAGAUGCCAUCUGACGAGGAAUAAAGAUUUAUCGGUUGUGGAUGGGGAUGCGUCUGAUUAGCUUGUUGGCGGGGUAACGGCCCACCAAGGCAACGAUCAGUAGGGGUUCUGAGAGGAAGGUCCCCCACAUUGGAACUGAGACACGGUCCAAACGCCUACGGGAGGCAGCAGUGAGGAAUAUUGGUCAAUGGGCGGAAGCCUGAACCAGCCAAGUAGCGUGCAGGAUGACGGCCCUAUGGGUUGUAAGCUGCUUUUAUACAGGAAUAAAGUUAGCCACGUGUGGUUAUUUGUAGGUACUGUAUGAAUAAGGACCGGCUAAUUCCGUGCCAGCCGCCGCCGUAA
rnacentral:rRNA from 1 species